CCAAUAGCGUAUAUUAAAGUUGUUGCAGUUAAAAAGCUCGUAGUUGAAUUUCGGGAUCAAUAUAUCGGUCGUGCCAUUGGUACGUACUGGUAUCAUUGGUUUCUCCUUUCUGACGAACCAUGAUGUCAUUAAUUUGGUGUUAUGGGAAGUUAGGACUGUUACUUUGAAAAAAUUAGAGUGUUUAAAGCAGGCUUUAGCUGGAAUACAUUAGCACGGAAUAAUGAAAUAGGACGUUCGAACCUAUUUUGUUGGUUUCUAGGAUCAACGUAAUGAUUAAUAGGGAUAGUUGGGGGCAUUAGUAUUCAAUUGUCAGAGGUGAAAUUCUUGGAUUUAUUGAAGACUAACUACUGCGAAAGCAUUUGCCAAGGAUGUUUUCAUUAAUCAAGAACGAAAGUUAGGGGAUCGAAGACGAUCAGAUACCGUCGUAGUCUUAACCAUAAACUAUGCCGACUAGGGAUCGGAUGAUGUUAAUUUUUUAAUGACUCAUUCGGCGCCUUACG
rnacentral:rRNA from 1 species